CCUACGGGGGGCUGCAGUAGGGAAUAUUGCUCAAUGGGGGAAACCCUGAAGCAGCAACGCCGCGUGGAGGAUGAAGGUUUUCGGAUUGUAAACUCCUUUUGUUAGAGAAGAUAAUGACGGUAUCUAACGAAUAAGCACCGGCUAACUCCGUGCCAGCAGCCGCGGUAAUACGGAGGGUGCAAGCGUUACUCGGAAUCACUGGGCGGAAAGAGCGCGUAGGCGGGAUAGCAAGUCAGAUGUGAAAUCCUAUGGCUUAACCAUAGAACUGCAUUUGAAACUGUUAUUCUAGAGUAUGGGAGAGGUAGGUGGAAUUCUUGGUGUAGGGGUAAAAUCCGUAGAGAUCAAGAGGAAUACUCAUUGCGAAGGCGACCUGCUAGAACAUAACUGACGCUGAUGCGCGAAAGCGUGGGGAGCAAACAGGAUUAGAUACCCUAGUAGUC
rnacentral:rRNA from 1 species